UACAGAGGGUGCGAGCGUUAAUCGGAAUUACUGGGCGUAAAGCGCGCGUAGGCGGCUUUGCAAGUCGGAUGUGAAAUCCCCAGGCUUAACCUGGGAACUGCAUUCGAGACUGCAUUGCUAGAGUAUGGGAGAGGGAGGUGGAAUUUCCGGUGUAGCGGUGAAAUGCGUAGAUAUCGGAAGGAACAUCAGUGGCGAAAGCGACUUCCUGGACCAAUACUGACGCUCAUGUGCGAAAGCGUGGGGAGCAAACAGG
rnacentral:rRNA from 1 species